UACGUAGGGUGCGAGCGUUGUCCGGAAUUAUUGGGCGUAAAGGGCUCGUAGGCGGUUUGUCGCGUCUGCUGUGAAAUCCCGAGGCUCAACCUCGGGCCUGCAGUGGGUACGGGCAGACUAGAGUGCGGUAGGGGAGAUUGGAAUUCCCGGUGUAGCGGUGAAAUGCGCAGAUAUCGGGAGGAACACCGGUGGCGAAGGCGGUUCUCUGGGCCUUACCUGACGCUGAGGAGCGAAAGCGUGGGGAGCGAACAGG
rnacentral:rRNA from 1 species